rnacentral:lncRNA from 1 species
UUUUCAUAAGCAUUGCUUUAUCUCAUAUUUCGAAAGAAAGAAGGACCAAACUAGAUGACAACAGUUAGAAAUAAAUCUCAAUAGGUUAUGAUUCAAGAUCAAAAGAUUACUAGCUCUCCAACACAAUAAAUAAGAAUGUGAUCACAAGUAGAGAUGUUGAGUUCGAUGUUGAAACUGGGCAAGAAGAAAACUAUAAUUUCUUCCAGAACUUGAAAGGCUUACCACUGGAUCAAAGGCAAAAGCACGUUUAGAAUUGGCUCCUUCUUUGCCAAAACGAAUAUGUCAAUUCUUAUCAAUCGUUGUCCAUCUCCCUUUUUCUCAUGCUUGAAACUACUUAUUCUUCUUCGAACUCGGAUGCCCACAUAAUGGCAUUAAAACUUUUUUUUUUCCAUCUCCAAUGAAUGGCAUUCUAGAAGCUCUCAAUCAAGCAAAGAGUUCCUAUACUAUGCUAAAGCCAAAUCAAUGUGGGCAUAAAUUGGGACAUACUGUCAAUGAUCUCAGUUAAAACAAUUAGGAAACGGUUUUCUCUUUGCGGUUAAAUUGGAUAUGCGACAUGGGAUAAAGAAAAUGGAUUUGAGAACAAGAUGAUGUGAUUCCACCUUAAUUAACAUUGUCAGCUCUAACUCCAAGAUAUAUCAUCAUCUUCAUCAUCCUCAAGUAAAAUACCACAUCAUUUUAGAUGCUUUCAAUAGAUUUGUAAUGAUACCGAAGAGUUAUCUCAACAUCUUAAGGAAAUAACUUUAUUUUGUUUAUUUGCCCAUCAUGCGAUUAUUAAUUUCAAUGAUGCUAUUAAAAAUUAUAAUGAAGAAAGCCAUGAAAGAAGAGAUCUAUCAAGAAGAAUGAUACUUGGGAGUUAGUCAUGCAACCUACUGGCCAAAAGUCAAUUGGAGUCACAGACUUCUGAGUAAAAAAAACAAUGUAAAUUGUGAAAUCGAAUGGUACAAGACAAAUGUUGGUAGGUAAAAGCUACAAUCUGGAACAUGAUGUCAAUUAUGA